rnacentral:rRNA from 1 species
AUUGAACGCUGGCGGCGUGCCUAACACAUGCAAGUCGAGCGGUAACAGGUGUAGCAAUACAUGCUGACGAGCGGCGGACGGGUGAGUAACGCUUGGGAAUCUGCCUAUUAGUGGGGGACAACCCGGGGAAACUCGGGCUAAUACCGCAUACGCACUACGGUGGAAAGCCGGGGACCGCAAGGCCUGGCGCUAACAGAUGAGCCCAAGUCGGAUUAGCUAGUUGGUAGGGUAACGGCCUACCAAGGCGACGAUCCGUAACUGGUCUGAGAGGACGACCAGUCACACCGGAACUGAGACACGGUCCGGACUCCUACGGGAGGCAGCAGUGGGGAAUAUUGGACAAUGGGCGAAAGCCUGAUCCAGCGACGCCGCGUGGGUGAAGAAGGCCUGCGGGUUGUAAAGCCCUUUCAGUGGGGAAGAAAGCCUCGAGCUAACACCUCGGGGUCUUGGCGUAACCCAUAGAAGAAGCACCGGCUAACUCUGUGCCAG